GACAAAAACAAAAUAAAUUAAAAUUCCGCGAAAUUCCAGUAAUGAUUUUGGCGCAUUAACGUCAUUUCAAAACAUGACGUCAUACGUAUGAAAACGUCAAAGCUGAAGGUUUUUCUAUUGCGUUUACCUUCUAAACUCGGAUACAAUUGCAUUAAAAUAAAUUAUUGAGGUAGGUGUUGCUUGUUUUCUGUUCUAUUGCAUUAUUCGCAC
rnacentral:lncRNA from 1 species